UCGAGAAUAAUUCACAAUGGGGGCAACCCUGAUGGUGCAACGCCGCGUGGAGGAUGACGGUCUUCGGAUUGUAAACUCCUGUCAUUUGGGAGUAAGACCUGGCGGUCAAUAGCCGACAGGGUUGAUAGUACCAAAAGAGGAAGGGACGGCUAACUUCGUGCCAGCAGCCGCGGUAAUACGAAGGUCCCGAGCGUUGUUCGGAAUCACUGGGCGUAAAGGGAGCGUAGGCGGCGUGGCAAGUCAGACGUGAAAGCCCGGGGCUCAACCCCGGAAUUGCGUCCGAUACUGCCGUGCUUGAGGGUUGGAGAGGUAGCUGGAAUUCUUGGUGUAGCAGUGAAAUGCGUGGAUAUCAAGAGGAACACUCGUGGCGAAAGCGAGCUACUGGACAACACCUGACGCUGAGGCUCGAAGGCCAGGGUAGCGAAAG
rnacentral:rRNA from 1 species